rnacentral:rRNA from 1 species
CUCUAUACGGAGUUACAAAGGACGACAUUAGACGAAUCAUCUGGAAAGAUGAAUCAAAGAAGGUAAUAAUCCUGUAGUCGAAAAUGUUGUCUCUCUUGAGUGGAUCCUGAGUACGACGGAGCACGUGAAAUUCCGUCGGAAUCUGGGAGGACCAUCUCCUAAGGCUAAAUACUCUCUAGUGACCGAUAGUGAACCAGUACCGUGAGGGAAAGGUGAAAAGCACCCCGGAAGGGGAGUGAAAUAGAACCUGAAACCGUGUGCUUACAAGUAGUCAGAGCCCGUUAAUGGGUGAUGGCGUGCCUUUUGUAGAAUGAACCGGCGAGUUACGAUUUGAUGCAAGGUUAAGCAGUAAAUGUGGAGCCGUAGCGAAAGCGAGUCUGAAUAGGGCGUUUAGUAUUUGGUCGUAGACCCGAAACCAGGUGAUCUACCCUUGGUCAGGUUGAAGUUCAGGUAACACUGAAUGGAGGACCGAACCGACUUACGUUGAAAAGUGAGCGGAUGAACUGAGGGUAGCGGAGAAAUUCCAAUCGAACCUGGAGAUAGCUGGUUCUCUCCGAAAUAGCUUUAGGGCUAGCCUCAAGUGAUGAUUAUUGGAGGUAGAGCACUGUUUGGACGAGGGGCCCCUCUCGGGUUACCGAAUUCAGACAAACUCCGAAUGCCAAUUAAUUUAACUUGGGAGUCAGAACAUGGGUGAUAAGGUCCGUGUUCGAAAGGGAAACAGCCCAGACCACCAGCUAAGGUCCCAAAAUAUAUGUUAAGUGGAAAAGGAUGUGGCGUUGCCCAGACAACUAGGAUGUUGGCUUAGAAGCAGCCAUCAUUUAAAGAGUGCGUAAUAGCUCACUAGUCGAGUGACACUGCGCCGAAAAUGUACCGGGGCUAAACAUAUUACCGAAGCUGUGGAUUGUCCUUUGGACAAUGGUAGGAGAGCGUUCUAAGGGCGUUGAAGCAUGAUCGUAAGGACAUGUGGAGCGCUUAGAAGUGAGAAUGCCGGUGUGAGUAGCGAAAGACGGGUGAGAAUCCCGUCCACCGAUUGACUAAGGUUUCCAGAGGAAGGCUCGUCCGCUCUGGGUUAGUCGGGUCCUAAGCUGAGGCCGACAGGCGUAGGCGAUGGAUAACAGGUUGAUAUUCCUGUACCACCUAUAAUCGUUUUAAUCGAUGGGGGGACGCAGUAGGAUAGGCGAAGCGUGCGAUUGGAUUGCACGUCUAAGCAGUAAGGCUGAGUAUUAGGCAAAUCCGGUACUCGUUAAGGCUGAGCUGUGAUGGGGAGAAGACAUUGUGUCUUCGAGUCGUUGAUUUCACACUGCCGAGAAAAGCCUCUAGAUAGAAAAUAGGUGCCCGUACCGCAAACCGACAC